rnacentral:rRNA from 1 species
AUGAACGCUGGCGGCGUGCCUAAUCCAUGCAAGUCGAGCGAACAGACGAGGAGCUUGCUCCUCUGACGUUAGCGGCGGACGGGUGAGUAACACGUGGAUAACCUACCUAUAAGACUGGGAUAACUUCGGGAAACCGGAGCUAAUACCGGAUAAUAUAUUGAACCGCCUGGUUCAAUAGUGAAAGACGGUUUUGCUGUCACUUAUAGAUGGAUCCGCGCGGCAUUAGCUAGUUGGUAAGGUAACGGCUUACCAAGGCAACGAUGCGUAGCCGACCUGAGAGGGUGAUCGGCCACACUGGAACUGAGACACGGUCCAGACUCCUACGGGAGGCAGCAGUAGGGAAUCUUCCGCAAUGGGCGAAAGCCUGACGGAGCAACGCCGCGUGAGUGAUGAAGGUCUUCGGAUCGUAAAACUCUGUUAUUAGGGAAGAACAAAUGUGUAAGUAACUAUGCACGUCUUGACGGUACCUAAUCAGAAAGCCACGGCUAACUACGUG